GACGAACCGUGCGAACGUUGUUCGGAUUCACUGGGCUUAAAGGGCGCGUAGGCGGCUUGCCAAGUCAGGGGUGAAAUCUUUCGGCUUAACCGGAAAAGUGCUUCUGAUACUGGCAGGCUGGAGGGAGGUAGGGGCAGACGGAACUUCCGGUGGAGCGGUGAAAUGCGUAGAUAUCGGAAGGAACGCCGGUGGCGAAAGCGGUCUGCCGGACCUCUUCUGACGCUGAUGCGCGAAAGCCAGGGGAGCAAACGGG
rnacentral:rRNA from 1 species